rnacentral:rRNA from 1 species
UACGUAGGGUGCAAGCGUUGUCCGGAAUUAUUGGGCGUAAAAGAGCUCGUAGGCGGUCUGUCGCGUCGGCUGUGAAAACCCGGAGCUCAACUCCGGGCCUGCAGUCGAUACGGGCAGACUGGAGUUCGGCAGGGGGAGACUGGAAUUCCUGGUGUAGCGGUGAAAUGCGCAGAUAUCAGGAGGAACACCGGUGCGAAGGCGGGGUCUCUGGGGCCGAUACUGACGCUGAGGAGCGAAAAGCGUGGGGGGGAGCGAACAGGA